rnacentral:rRNA from 1 species
UCGUCAGCUCGUGUUGUGAAAUGUUGGGUUAAGUCCCGCAACGAGCGCAACCCUUAUCCUUUGUUGCCAGCGGUCCGGCCGGGAACUCAAAGGAGACUGCCAGUGAUAAACUGGAGGAAGGUGGGGAUGACGUCAAGUCAUCAUGGCCCUUACGACCAGGGCUACACACGUGCUACAAUGGCGCAUACAAAGAGAAGCGACCUCGCGAGAGCAAGCGGACCUCAUAAAGUGCGUCGUAGUCCGGAUUGGAGUCUGCAACUCGACUCCAUGAAGUCGGAAUCGCUAGUAAUCGUGGAUCAGAAUGCCACGGUGAAUACGUUCCCGGGCCUUGUACACACCGCCCGUCACACCAUGGGAGUGGGUUGCAAAAGAAGUAGGUAGCUUAACCUUCGGGAGGGCGCUUACCACUUUGUGAUUCAUGACUGGGGUGAAGUCGUAACAAGGUAACCGUAGGGGAACCUGCGGUUGGAUCACCUCCUUACCUUAAAGAAGC